AGUUUGAGGAUUUGAAGCACCUGUUCUUGGAUCGUGGCCCUGUAGCCAUCCUCGGGCCCCUGUAGCCAUCCUCGGGCAAAGCGCUUGACAUCUCUGUGCC
rnacentral:miRNA from 1 species